UACGUAGGGUGCGAGCGUUGUCCGGAAUUAUUGGGCGUAAAGGGCUCGUAGGCGGUUUGUCGCGUCGGGAGUGAAAACACUGGGCUUAACUCAGUGCUUGCUUCCGAUACGGGCAGACUAGAGGUAUGCAGGGGAGAACGGAAUUCCUGGUGUAGCGGUGAAAUGCGCAGAUAUCAGGAGGAACACCGGUGGCGAAGGCGGGUCUCUGGGCAGUAACUGACGCUGAGGAGCGAAAGCGUGGGAGCGAACAGG
rnacentral:rRNA from 1 species